rnacentral:sRNA from 1 species
ACCUAAAAAAUAGCCCGUAACUAUUCCUGGUCACGGGCUUUGGGAAACGGCUCAUCGCGAGCCUUGCGCUAAUAAUAAAAUGGAAAGCAUUACCUUAUUUAGCGUAGUUCAAGGGCUCGUCCUGUCCAGUUU